rnacentral:rRNA from 1 species
UACGAAGGGAGCUAGCGUUGUUCGGAAUCACUGGGCGUAAAGCGCACGUAGGCGGAUGUGUCAGUCAGGGGUGAAAUCCCGGAGCUCAACUUCGGAACUGCCUUUGAUACAGCACGUCUUGAGUCCGAUAGAGGUGGGUGGAAUUCCUAGUGUAGAGGUGAAAUUCGUAGAUAUUCGCAAGAACACCAGUGGCGAAGGCGGCUCACUGGCCCGAUACUGACGCUGAGGUGCGAAAGCGUGGGGAGCAAACAGG